rnacentral:rRNA from 1 species
AUUGAACGCUGGCGGCAGGCCUAACACAUGCAAGUCGAACGAGUGGCGGACGGGUGGGUAAGGGCUGGGAACCUGCCUGAUGGAGGGGGAUAACUACUGGAACCGGUAGCUAAUACCGCAUACCAUCAGAUGUGCUCAGCUGGGAUUAGCUUGUCGGUGGGGUAACUGCUCACCGAGGCGACGAUCCCUAGCUGGUCUGAGAGGAUGACCAGCCACACUGGAACUGAGACACGGCCCAGACUCCUACGGGAGGCAGCAGUGGGGAAUAUUGCACAAUGGGCGAAAGCCUGAUGCAGCCAUGCCGCGUGUAUGAAGAAGGCUUUCGGGUUGUAAAGUACUUUCAGCGGGGAGGCGUUACCUGCAGAAGAAGCACCGGCUAACUCCGUGCCAGCAGCCGCGGUAAUUA